rnacentral:hammerhead_ribozyme from 1 species
AUCCAGCUGACGAUCCCAAAUAGGAUGAAACGCACGUCCUGCAU